rnacentral:piRNA from 1 species
GCAGUGUGUCUGGGCUGUUGCAGGGUG